CAUGUCAUGGUGUAGUGGUUUGAGUGUCGGACUAUGACUCUGAGGACCAGGGUUCAAAUCUCUAGUCGGACAUGA